rnacentral:rRNA from 1 species
UCUGGCGGCAAUAUUGCGAUGGCACCACCUGAACCAUGCCGAACUCAGAAGUGAAACGUUGUGAAGCCGAUGGUAGUGUGGGGAUUCCCCAUGUGAGAGUAGGUCACCGCCAGAC